GUGGGUAGCGGUGAAAUUCCAAUCGAGCCCGGAGAUAGCUGGUUCUCCCCGAAAUAGCUUUAGGGCUAGCCUCAAGGUGAGAGAUACGGAGGUAGAGCACUGAAUGUCCUAGGGGGUAGUGCACCUACCGAAGACUAUCAAACUCCGAAUGCCGUCAUCUUAUACUUGGGAGUCAGACUGUGGGUGAUAAGAUUCAUAGUCGAAAGGGCAACAGCCCAGAUCGUCAGCUAAGGUCCCUAAAUGUAA
rnacentral:rRNA from 1 species